rnacentral:rRNA from 1 species
AACGAACGCUGGCGGCAUGCCUAACACAUGCAAGUCGAACGAGAUCUUCGGGUCUAGUGGCGCACGGGUGCGUAACGCGUGGGAAUCUGCCCUUUGGUUCGGAAUAACAGUUGGAAACGACUGCUAAUACCGGAUGAUGACGAAAGUCCAAAGAUUUAUCGCCAGAGGAUGAGCCCGCGUAGGAUUAGAUAGUUGGUGUGGUAAAGGCGCACCAAGGCGACGAUCCUUAGCUGGUCUGAGAGGAUGAUCAGCCACACUGGGACUGAGACACGGCCCAGACUCCGACGGGAGGCAGCAGGGGGGAAUAUUGGACAAUGGGCGAAAGCCUGAUCCAGCAAUGCCGCGUGAGUGAUGAAGGCCUUAGGGUUGUAAAGCUCUUUUACCCGGGAUGAUAAUGACAGUACCGGGAGAAUAAGCUCCGGCUAACUCCGUGCCAGCCGCCGCCGUAA